UAGUGAGUUUGAUCCUGGCUCAGAACGAACGCUGGCGGCAUGCCUAACACAUGCAAGUCGAACGAGACCUUCGGGUCUAGUGCGCACGGGUGCGUAACGCGUGGGAAUCUGCCCUCGGUUCGGAAUAACUCAGGGAAACUUGAGCUAAUACCGGAUGAUGACUUCGGUCCAAAGAUUUAUCGCCGAGGGAUGAGCCCGCGUAGGAUUAGCUUGUUGGUGGGGUAAAGGCCUACCAAGGCGACGAUCCUUAGCUGGUCUGAGAGGAUGAUCAGCCACACUGGGACUGAGACACGGCCCAGACUCCUACGGGAGGCAGCAGUGGGGAAUAUUGGACAAUGGGCGAAAGCCUGAUCCAGCAAUGCCGCGUGAGUGAU
rnacentral:rRNA from 1 species